rnacentral:rRNA from 1 species
AGUGAACGCUGGCGGCGUGCCUAAUACAUGCAAGUCGAACGGAAUUUAAAAGAGCUUGCUCUUUUAAAUUUAGUGGCGCACGGGUGAGUAAUAUAUAGCUAAUCUGCCCCUUGCUGGAGGACAACAGUUAGAAAUGACUGCUAAUACUCCAUACUCCUUUUUACCAUAAGAUAAAUCGGGAAAGAAUUUCGGCAAGGGAUGAGACUAUAUCGUAUCAGCUAGUCGGUGGGGUAACGGCCUACCGAGGCUAUGACGCGUAACUGGUCUGAGAGGAUGAUCAGUCACAUUGGAACUGAGACACGGUCCAAACUCCUACGGGAGGCAGCAGUAGGGAAUAUUGCGCAACGGGGGAAACCCUGACGCAGCAACGCCGCGUGGAGGAUGACACUUUUCGGAGCGUAAACUCCUUUUGUUAGGGAAGAAUAAUGACGGACCUAACGAAUAAGCACCGCA